rnacentral:misc_RNA from 1 species
GAUGAAGAAACGUAGCGAAAUGCGAUACGUAAUGUGAAUUGCAGAAUUCAGUGAAUCAUCGAGUCUUUGAACGCACAUUGCGCCCCCUGGUAUUCCGGGGGGCAUGCCUGUCCGAGCGUCAUUGCUGCCCUCAAGCACGGCUUGUGUGUUGGGCCUCCGUCCUCCUCCCGGGGGACGGGCCCGAAAGGCAGCGGCGGCACCGCGUCCGGUCCUCGAGCGUAUGGGGCUUCGUCACCCGCUCUUGUAGGCCCGGCCGGCGCUUGCCGACACAUCAAUCUUUUUUCCAGGUUGACCUCGGAUCAGGUAGGGAUACCCGCUGAACUUAAGCAUAUCAAAAGCGGAGGA